GUUUGAUCAUGGCUCAGAUUGAACGCUGGCGGCAGGCCUAACACAUGCAAGUCGAGCGGAAACGACACUAACAAUCCUUCGGGUGCGUUAAUGGGCGUCGAGCGGCGGACGGGUGAGUAAUGCCUAGGAAAUUGCCUUGAUGUGGGGGAUAACCAUUGGAAACGAUGGCUAAUACCGCAUAAUGCCUACGGGCCAAAGAGGGGGACCUUCGGGCCUCUCGCGUCAAGAUAUGCCUAGGUGGGAUUAGCUAGUUGGUGAGGUAAUGGCUCACCAAGGCGACGAUCCCUAGCUGGUCUGAGAGGAUGAUCAGCCGCACUGGAACUGAGACACGGUCCAGACUCCUACGGGAGGCAGCAGUGGGGAAUAUUGCACAAUGGGCGAAAGCCUGAUGCAGCCAUGCCGCGUGUAUGAAGAAGGCCUUCGGGUUGUAAAGUACUUUCAGUUGUGAGGAAGGGGGUAGCGUUAAUAGCGCUAUCUCUUGACGUUAGCAACAGAAGAAGCACCGGCUAACUCCGUGCCAGCAGCCGCGGUAAUACGGAGGGUGCGAGCGUUAAUCGGAAUUACUGGGCGUAAAGCGCAUGCAGGUGGUUCAUUAAGUCAGAUGUGAAAGCCCGGGGCUCAACCUCGGAACCGCAUUUGAAACUGGUGAACUAGAGUGCUGUAGAGGGGGGUAGAAUUUCA
rnacentral:rRNA from 1 species